rnacentral:tRNA from 1 species
GGAGGCUUCGCCUAGUCCGGUCUAUGGCGCCGCACUGCUAAUGCGGUUUGGGUUUACGCCCAUCCGGGGUUCAAAUCCCCGAGCCUCCGCCA